UGGGGAAUAUUGGACAAUGGGGGCAACCCUGAUCCAGCAAUGCCGCGUGUGUGAAGAAGGUCUUCGGAUUGUAAAGCACUUUCGACGGGGACGAUGAUGACGGUACCCGUAGAAGAAGCCCCGGCUAACUUCGUGCCAGCAGCCGCGGUAAUACGAAGGGGGCUAGCGUUGCUCGGAAUGACUAGGCGUAAAGGGCGUGUAGGCGGUUUACACAGUCAGAUGUGAAAUCCCCGGGCUUAACCUGGGAGCUGCAUUUGAUACGUGUAGACUAGAGUGUGAGAGAGGGUUGUGGAAUUCCCGGUGUAGAGGUGAAAUUCGUAGAUAUUGGGAAGAACACCGGUGGCGAAGGCGGCAACCUGGCUCAUGACUGACGCUGAGGCGCGAAAGCGUGGGGAGCAAACAGGAUUAGAUACCCUGGUAGUCCACGCUGUAAACGAUGUGUGCUAGAUGUUGGGUAACU
rnacentral:rRNA from 1 species